rnacentral:rRNA from 1 species
AGUGGAUUAGCGGCGGACGGGUGAGUAACACGUGGGUAACCUGCCUCAAAGUGGGGGAUAGCCUUCCGAAAGGGAGAUUAAUACCGCAUAAUAUAAGAGAAUCGCAUGAUUUUCUUAUCAAAGAUUUAUUGCUUUGAGAUGGACCCGCGGCGCAUUAGCUAGUUGGUAAGGUAACGGCUUACCAAGGCAACGAUGCGUAGCCGACCUGAGAGGGUGAUCGGCCACAUUGGAACUGAGACACGGUCCAGACUCCUACGGGAGGCAGCAGUGGGGAAUAUUGCGCAAUGGGGGAAACCCUGACGCAGCAACGCCGCGUGGGUGAUGAAGGUCUUCGGAUUGUAAAGCCCUGUUUUCUGGGACGAUAAUGACGGUACCAGAGGAGGAAGCCACGGCUAACUACGUGCCAGCAGCCGCGGUAAUACGUAGGUGGCGAGCGUUGUCCGGAUUUACUGGGCGUAAAGGGUGCGUAGGCGGAUGUUUAAGUGGGAUGUGAAAUCCCCGGGCUUAACCUGGGGGCUGCAUUCCAAACUGGAUAUCUAGAGUGCAGGAGAGGAAAGCGGAAUUCCUAGUGUAGCGGUGAAAUGCGUAGAGAUUAGGAAGAACACCAGUGGCGAAGGCGGCUUUCUGGACUGUAACUGACGCUGAGGCACGAAAGCGUGGGUAGCAAACAGGAUUAGAUACCCUGGUAGUCCACGCCGUAAACGAUGGAUACUAGGUGUAGGGGGUAUCAACUCCCCCUGUGCCGCAGUUAACACAAUAAGUAUCCCGCCUGGGGAGUACGGUCGCAAGAUUAAAACUCAAAGGAAUUGACGGGGGCCCGCACAAGCAGCGGAGCAUGUGGUUUAAUUCGAAGCAACGCGAAGAACCUUACCUGGACUUGACAUCCCUUGCAUAGCCUAGAGAUAGGUGAAGCCCUUCGGGGCAAGGAGACAGGUGGUGCAUGGUUGUCGUCAGCUCGUGUCGUGAGAUGUUAGGUUAAGUCCUGCAACGAGCGCAACCCUUGUUAUUAGUUGCUACCAUUAAGUUGAGCACUCUAAUGAGACUGCCUGGGUAACCAGGAGGAAGGUGGGGAUGACGUCAA